AUAUGAAAAAUGACAUGUUAUGAUCUUUUUAUCAUAUGCUUCAACAGUAGAGAAAAAUAACAGAUUCACAUAUUGAUCCUUUUACAAAUGUAUGUGGUUCCCGAAGUUUAAAGAGUAAAAAAGUUCACGGCCGUCGGGCCCAAAAUUUGAUACAUUCAAUAUGAAAUCUUUCUAUCAUAUGCCCCAACAGAGAGAGAGAGAGAAAACCAACAUUUUAAUAUGGACGAAUCGGCAAAAAAUAAUUCAACAAUAUACCUAAUGAUCAUUGUUUGGAAAAGUCAACUUUUUAAGGAAACUUUCU
rnacentral:lncRNA from 1 species